AGCGUGUGACCCUUCGGGGGACUUCCACAGGUGCUGCAUGGCCGUCGUCAGCUCGUGUCGUGAGAUGUUGGGUUAAGUCCCGCAACGAGCGCAACCCUUGUCCCUAGUUGCUACGCAAGGGCACUCCAGGGAGACUGCCGGUGACAAACCGGAGGAAGGUGGGGAUGACGUCAAGUCCUCAUGGCCCUUAUGGGUAGGGCUUCACACGUCAUACAAUGGCCGGUACAGAGGGUUGCCAAAGCGCGAGCUGGAGCCAAUCCCCAUAAAAGCCGGUCGUAGUCCGGAUUGCAGUCUGCAACUCGACUGCAUGAAGUCGGAAUCGCUAGUAAUCGCGGAUCAGCAUGUCGCGGUGAAUACGUUCCCGGGUCUUGUACACACCGCCCGUCACACCAUGGGAGCGGGAUGUACCAGAAGUAGGUAGGCUAACCGCAAGGGGGCCGCUUACCACGGUGCGUUUCGUGACUGGGGUGAAGUCGUAACAAGGUAGCCGUAA
rnacentral:rRNA from 1 species